CCUUGGAUAGCUCAAUUGGUAGAGCAUGAGACUGUUAAUCUCAGGUUUGUGGGUUCGAGCCCCACGUUGAGCA